UAUUGUUUUAGGUCUGCGACAUUAAAAACAUAAUGAAUGUGUAAGUCUGGUGGUAGUUCUAUUUUGUAAGCAUUAUCUCCGAUCCUCUUUAGGACACGGAAUGGUCCUAAUUGUCUGUCUUUUAGUUUGUUGUAUGUUUCGGUUGGAAAUCGAUUUUUUCUUAGGUGAAUCAUUACUAAAUCUCCCUUGGUAAAGGUAGUUUGUCUUCUUUUUCUGUCUGUUGCGUCUUUGUAGGACUGAGUUGUUUCUUUUAGGUGAUUGUGGACUUCUUCGUGUAAAUUCUGGAUUUUUUCUAUCAUCUUUUCUGCCUCUGAUAGUUAGGGAACUCAACACAUUUUACUUGACCUAACCAAGAUGGCUCUUUGUAUGUAUAUUGCAUGUGUUGUUUGUUUUUUUCUAUAGCUCUUGAUUGUCUCACUUUUUUACGUUUUGCAUUUGCAAUUCUCUUUUCUUUCUUUGGUAUGCAAUGUGGUAACAAGGUCUUGCUAGAACCGGUGGGCUAACCUUUCUAUGGUUCUAAACUUAGUUUCUAAGUUUGACUGCUCCCUUCGGAGUGACAACAAGCCUCGUUUUUCUCCCUACUAUGGAACGGGGAGGAUUCAUUUUCUUUUCAAAGCCCUCGUCAAACUCAAUGCUAAGUUUGACUGCUCCCUUCGGAGUGACAACAAGCCUUGUUUUCCCCUAAUGUGGAUCGGGGAGGAUUCCUUCUCUUUUCAAAGCCCUCAUCAAACUCGAUGCUGUGUUUAGAACGCUAAGAGUAGGUGGUCUGGUUUUGGUUAGGCCAAAAGUGAAGUUUUCCCCCAUUUUUUAUGGGCUUUUUCUAAUGUAUAUUGGAUAUGUUGUUUGAUUUUUUUUAUAGCUCUUGAUUGUCUUACUGUUUUAUGUUUUGCAUUGUCAAGUCUCUGUUUUCUUUCUUUGGUAUGCAAUGUGGUAACUAGGUCUUGCUAGAACCGGUAGGCUAACCUUUCUAUGGUUCUACAUUUAGUUCCUAAUUAAGUUUGAUUGCUCCCUUCGGAGUGACAAUAAGUUUUGUUAAUGUCGACCCUUUUCUAAAGGGAUUUAGUUCACUGUGGCUAGGCAAGAGGUUUCUAACUCAUGUUUGACAAGACAAAUUUGUUAAAACCAUCUUAGUUUCUAAAGAGUGCCUCCUAUCCCUUUUUUACUCUAUCUAGGCUAGGUUUGGACUAAGUGCAUCAUAGGUAAGUCACGACAAAGCAACAAAGGAAGACAAAGCUAGAAAAGUAUUCAUGCACUUAUUUAUUAUACAUGCAAUCAAGCAUUCACAACAUACAUACCAUUUUCUCAAUCAUGCAUUCACACCUCAAUAAGAAAUAGCUAAAAGGAGCUUACAACAAAAAAGACAGCCGCUUAUUCUCAAAUUUCAGCACAUAUACUCAUCAAAAUUUAGAAUUUCACAUUGCAAACCCGAGCUCAGUGCUCAAGGGUUGCCAAUCAUGCUUUUUAUGCAAGAUCUAAUUAAGCUAAGAAGGUAUAAUGCUCAUUUUGUAUGGAAAGAAUUCUGAAAUUUUUUUUAAAUUUGGGCAAAAUUUGAACCCCGAAGUUUAGACUAAACAUGCAAGCUAAGCAAGCUAUUACCCACACCCACUCAAAAAAUUGCUUUGUCUGUCCUAAAAGCUUUUGAAAAUCAAAGUAAAUGGAGAAAAAUAAGGGGGAACUUUGGACUCCCCUAGAAGGAUCGACAUCCUUGACUUUGGUUUGAAGCUUGCAUGGAUAAACCUUUUCAUUCCUUUUUAAUUGAUUAUUCAUCCUUGUUCCUGAAAAUCAAAGGAAAUUCUCUCAAUUUUAUAUAUUACUAAAAUUAGGAUACAUAUAAGUCUUAACUAGUCUAAUAGCACCCUCCAUUCAUCUUCCCCUACACUGGCUAUGGUAUCAAAAUUUUCAAUUAAGUAAUACGUCUACUAACGAACUUGAAAACAAAACACAUCACACUAAAAAACACAAACAUCACUUUAACCCAACAGAAGCUGCUCUUUUUACCCUUGCACUCACUAUCACAUUACUAUCAUGUUUGUCAACUGUCAAACUAACUCUUUUAAGUUAUUUAGUGUGACUACAAAGUUAUGAACACCAUAAUCUUAAUUAAAACCUUUUAAUAAACAAAUGCCAAGUUACUACUCAACAAUGGCAAGGAAUUCAAAAAACAUGACUGUAACGACCCAACUUUUCUAGGUAAGUCGAAGUCAUUAAUUUCAAAUAAGGACCUGAGUUUACACAAAAUCUCAAUCUCAAACAAUUUCAAAGUCUCAAGAAAAACAAAAAUUUAUACCUGGGCCCGGUUUAAAAUAACCAGCACCUUCAAGACAAAUUUACUAAUUCGUGAAUACAGUUCAACUAUAAAAUUUUCUAAACAAUCUCAAGUACUAAACAAAACACGUGAAACAAAACAUUUAGCGGAAGCAAUUUAAAAUAACCCCUAUGGCAAUCACGCUUCCUUUCUGCCCCUCGUCGGUUUGCCGUCUUUAUUACCUUUGCCUGAAAAUUAAACAUAAGGAGGGUGAGUAUAAAAAUACCCAGUACGAGACCCUCUACUGGUCCCGUCAGGGGAAAAUAAAUUGUUAACAUUCUAUUGGGACACCCUGUACAGUCACAGUCUUGUGAUCCCGUAGGAGGCACAUUUCAGUCUAACGCCCCGAGGGACGUACAUUUCAGUCUAGUGUUCUGCAGAAACACAUAUCAGUCUAAUGCUCUUGAAGGUGCAGAAUAAUUGGUGAUCCGUGUGACACCUACAAGGCACACAUCCCAAUAAAAGCUAACAAUUUUUCCCCUCAGUCCAUUCUAAACAUCUUAACAGUCAUUCACAGAUCAGUUAAACAUUCUCAUCACGUAAACUCUUUAUUUAACCUCAAACAGUCGUCUUACUCUAGUUUAGUCCAAGGUCAAUAAAAAAACAUAUCAUUACAUCAGUUAACAAGCUAAACAAUCAUAACCUCCUCCUCAGUCACCAAGGGCACCACCAUGACGUUUCUUCCGUUCACAAGCACACAACAUAACAGUAGAUUAUACACUCAGUCUAGACAACAAUCAAUCUACUAAUCAAAUCCACACUUUAUAUAAGCAACAUCUACGAGAUUCAGUCGUUUCCACAUCCUUAUCUUUGUACACAUACAUAACUAGACAGUCACAACAUAUACUCAACCACAGUCUACAUCAAUCCAUGCACAUAUAUGUAUUAAUUUCUCCCAGUCAAACAUAGCAAACAUUAAACUUUAAGUCAAUGCCCAAACAUACAUCAUAACAGUCAUCUCUACUCAGUUCAAAUCAAUACAUCUUAAUUAGUCAUUAUAUAUUAAUUUUGUUGUUGAGUCUAGUAGAAAAUCCCUUACUUUCAAGUUAGUUAAGCUCCUUAACCACGUUGAAGUCUACGAAGAACGAACCUAAACAUUAAGACAAUUUCUCAAUAAUUCUCUUCAACGCAUCAAUCAUUUAAAUUCAACCCAAUGUGAUUUUUUUUUUACAACUUACCCAAAUCUUCACAAAACGAGUUCCAACUAGAAUCAAUUGUUUGCUGCGAACCCAAUGAAUUCGAGUGUUACCUUCAACCUAUAAUCGAACAGUAAACUAUUUAUCCAACCAAUUAAUCCAGCAAUAUUACUUGAGUUUAUUUUGGAAACAGUUACAAAUUUCAUAACUUCAAUCUUACCAAUCAAAAUUUAAUGACUCGUGGCAAAGCAGGAACGACAGCGAACAACCCAAUCGAAUGGCGUGGGUUUGCUACCUGCGGCAGGACGAAGAAGGAACUCGACGCGCAGAAAGUUGGAUCUGGGGUCUUUAGUUCGGUUCACGGUAGCGAAUUAAAACCUGAUUGCGCGGACGUCAAAGGUGUUAUUCGCGGAAGAAGUCGAGCAGCAGCUUUGCGAAGAGACGACGUGCGACGGAGAGACUGUAUACAGACGGACGGAGAGUCGCGCGGCAGUGCAGAAAACGGAGGAGAAAGGAAUGGGCGGCGGCUGGGCUUGGCUUCGACGGAGACAGAGGCGAUUAGGACGGGGCACGGCGACGCAGAUCUGGACGACGGCGCGGAGACAGAGGUUGCGCGGCGCUGGGCAGAGGGUCAAACGGCGCUGGGCGAAGGGUCACACGGCGCUGGGCGGAAGGUCACACGGCGGCCUUGCUUCGCGAACAGAGAUGGCGGCCGACGGUUGCAGCGGCGGCUGGGUAUGGUAGAAAAGAAAGAGAAACGGAAGAAGAAUAGGGGCGGCGACCGUGGAUCGGAGAAGAAAAGAAGGAUGAAAGCGAUGGUGGUCGGUUGGAGGGUGCGGCUGGAGGUAGGGAUCGGUGAAGGAGAAAAUAGAAAAAGAAAAUGAAGGGGAAAUGGGGGUUGCGCGCGGGAGGAAGAAGAAAGGAAAAAAAAUUCUUUUUUUUUUUUCUUUUCUUUUAUUUAAAUUAAAUAAUAAAACUAAAAUAUAAAUAAAUAUAUAUAUAAUUAUAUUAUCACAUUUUCAAAUCUUCUUUCUCCCCCUUCAUCAUAUUUUCUUCAAAAAAAUAAAUCUUGUACAAAUCGAAUAAUUUUCUUAAAAUAAAUUACCUUCGAGUUUGGGGCGUUACAAUGACAGCUAUAUUGUAACUUGGCACUUGGGGACUUUAAUGGUGUCAAUAUUGUAACUUCUGGUGCCAUGACAAAUAUUGGUGACUGUCAAGAUAAGUUCGCAUAGCCACCGAAAGAUACAUCGUUGCUUUUGAAGAAUGACAAGACUCUAAAUGAUAUAUGCAGCAUUAUUUUGGUUAUAUCCAAUCUUCUUUGAAGGCUAUGUACUUGAAGAUUUUAAUCAAUAAAUAAAAUGAAGUUUAAUUUUUAAAAUAAUAACAUUACAAUGGGAUGGCGAUUGGAAUUGAUUACUUUGGUUAAAAUUUAAGAUUAGAUUAAAAAAAUCAAUUAAUAGAUAAUUCCAUCCAAUCAAAAUAACUAAAUAAAAGACGAGAUUUGAAAAUAUAAUAUCCUAAUAGACACUAAUAGACUUAUAUUAAUAGAUAAUUUCCUGCCGAUGAAAAAUUACUAAAGUUGUACUAUAUUUUAUAAAUAUUUCAAAACAUUACAUAAACACUAAUUAAAGUUGGGUUUAGUAGCAAAAGGUUACAAAUUUAUUGACACCUUUUUUAGGAAAAAAAAUACCUUGACAUGAUGUAAACUAAAUUUGUAAUCAGCAUUGAAAUCUUUACUAUACUAAAUGGGCUCGUGGAGAAAAAAUUAUAUACAUCUAUUUUAUUCUUAAAUUGUCGAAAAAAAAUUAUAUUACCUUUUGUGAUCUAACGUAGUUGUGACUUUUAUAGUGUAAGUGUCCAUUUUAAUGUUUGGAAAGAUGAUUUUUCCAAUUUUUUAGUUUACAAAAUAAAGUUCUAUAUUUCAUAAAAUAAAACCUUAUGUUGAAUAUAUGUAACUAAUGUUGAUAGGAUGUGAUUGGUUGAUCUUCAAGAUACGAUGCAUUCUGUUUAGAGUGGAGAUGGUUGCACACACAUCAAAUUGGUGCAUUGAUUCCUCCAAAUUUACAUGUGAAAUGUAAAUGUAAAAGAAAAACAAAACAAACUCUUGCAGUUACACAUUAGGAAAAAAAAACGUCACGAAAUUCCAAAGUUCAAAAGAAAACAAACAUACACAGGGAUUUAAUUGAUUCAAAGUAGUAACAAAUGGUGAAAAAAUGCAUAAUUUGUUGUGAUUUCACAUUAACAUGUUAGAAUAAAAAAUUAUCGUAUUCUAUAUAUUACAAUAUUGGAUCAAAUAUUAAUACAUUAAUUUAAUUAUUUAAUUACUACAUCAAUGAAUUUCUUUUUCUUUUUUAAAUAAUAAUUUUACCAUUAAUAUUAUAUAAUAUUUGUUUAUUAUAUGCUAAAGCAUAUUUAAAAAUUAAAUAGAAUUAAGAGAUUUCACGUGAAUUUAUGCACAUGUUUCAACUGAAAAGAUGGAAACAAUAGUCACAAAUUAUUUUUUCCUAAAACAAAACAUUCGUAACCAAAUCUAAAUAUGCACUUUCAUAACUAAGGACCAAAACUCAUAUUACGUAGAAUUGAGCAUGGUUUAAAUGAAAUUAUUAACAAAAUACUUACACUUUAAACCAGGUUUUUUGGCAACAUACAUAGUGAGAAAAUUCCAAAUUUACCCUCUUACUUGUAUCUUUUCAAUAAAAAGUGCAUCUUAGUUGUAAUUAUGUCAAAAUAAAAAUAAAAAAAUAACUCGUCAGUUAACGUGGUUAUUCAUUAAUUGAUUUGGGUGAACUUUCUGAAGAUAAAAAUAACAAAAACAAACAAACAAAAGACUAGAACAUGUUAUUUAAUUAUGUAAUUACAACUUCCCUUUCUCCUCCGUGAGAAAAAAAACCAUUUCUCUAAAUUUCAUCUAUAUAUGUGUAUUGAUCAAAUGACCCAUAUCAAUAAGGACACAAAAUUGGCAAAGAACAAAUAAAUUAAAAUGGACAAUAACUCUUGUUUCAUUACUUUCUCUCUCAUUGGAGUUCUUUUGUUCACCAUCAUUUCAAAUGUGGCAUCAUCUAACGACGUUGUUUCUACCAUCUGUUCAGAAAUCUCAAAUCCACAAUUUUGUUUAAGUGUGUUGAAAUCUGCAGGCACUACAGAUCUAAAAGGCUUGGCUGUAUACACCUUAAACCUUGCUCAUUCAAAUGCUGGCAAAUCUUUGAUCCUAGCCAACUCACUAGCAAAAGCCACCACCAAUCCUCAACUUAAGCAACGAUAUUCAUUUUGUGCUGAGAGCUAUGAUGAAGUUGUUGGUGACAUUGAAAAUGCUCAAAACGACUUGGCACUUGGGGACUUUAUUGGUGUCAUUAUUGCAACUACUGGUGCCAUGACAACUCUUGGUGAUCACUGUCAGAAUAAGCUCUUGCAGCCGCCGAAGGAUACAUCGUUGCUUUUAAAGAAUAGCAACACUCUAGAUGAUAUAUUUAGCAUUAUUAUGGUUAUAUCCGAUCAUCUUUGAGGGUUAUGUACUUGAACAUUUUGAUCAAUAAAUAAACUGAAGUUUAAUUUUUAAAAUAAUAUUACAAUGUGAUGGUGAUUGGAAUUGAUUACUUACUUUGAUUAAACUUGAGAAGAUAAAGAAAAUCAAUUAAUAGAAACGUUCACCGACACACAUUGUCAGCACGUCGGAGAAAGCCUAAACUUUUUUUUCUUUUCUUUUACGUUCUGUUUUCUUUUCUUUGUUUGCCAUCAUCAUCGUCAUCUUCUUCUUCUUCUAGCUUCUUACGUUCUGUUUCAAUUGCAUACUUCUGUUAUUCUUGUAAUUUCUUCGUGGUUUUCUUUUUAACUUUGUGUUUCAGUGUGGAUUCAUAAACACAUUUUUCAGUGCUCUGGAUUCUGGAUCUGUUAUGAUUUGAAAGGGUACAGUGAAGUGAAAAGUUGAAAUGGAAAAGAAAAAAAAGAAGAAAAGAGGACACUUCUCGCGGUGGUGGCGGCAAAGACUGACGUCGACGACAACACAACUCUCCUCCUCUCCCUAUAUCUCGGCCGAUUUUGGGUUUAUUUUCGUUUUGCAUUCUGUUAUGUGUAGAAGGGAGAAUAAAUAGUGUGGACUUUCCCCGACAUCUUCGAAAACGUUGGGAAAUUUACCUUUUCGCCGACGUAUGUAGUACACACGUCGGAGAAAGUUUAAAUAAUAAAUUCAUUAUUUAAACUUUCCCCGACGUACUCCUGUCAUACGAGUCUAAAUUAAAUUUAAUGCGUUCUCCUUCGGCGAUGUGUGUCAAGGUGACGUUGGAAAAAGUUUAAACACUAAUGCAAUUAUUUUAAAUCACAUAUGUUAUCGCUUAUAUGGCAUAAGAGUCUAUUAACGAUAGAAAUCUAUCUUGAUAGGUUUUGCUACAUUUACAAUUUUUAAAAAAUAUUCUUAUAUACUUAACUAUUAUUCCUAAAAUUGCUAACCCAUUAUACUUACCCUAAGUUAAAUGUAUAAUGUCAAAAGUAAGUUUACUACGAAGGUAAUCUAUGUGACCCUUUUAUCCUAACGUAGGAAGUUUGUUCCACUCCAUACCAUUAUUGAACUAAAAGGAUUAAGUGUGUAUUAAUAUGUUUAAACAAGUAUAAUUAUAGCAAAAUCUAUAAGUGAUAUAUUGAUAUUAGCAAUACAAUACGCGUCACAUAUGCAAACAUUUUGUGUCUAAUCGUUGUAUUUACAAUUAACUCCAUUAAAAUAUUACAAAUAGAAAUAGAACUCUUUAAUCUAUGUUCAGUUAGGAUCACAAACUACAAAAUGAAAGCAUGGAACAAAUUUAAUUUUUUUUUUCUUUAAAGGAAAUUUUGUGUGUAGCACAUUAUAUUUUUUUCUUUCCUUUAAAAAACAUUAUUGAUCUUAUGAUAUUUGACAUAUAUUAUAUUUUUUUAAGAAUGUAAAUAAUGUAAAUAAUGUGCCAAAUAAUUGAAAACAUGUUAUCCAAAACAGAGAAUGGUUAAGAAAUUGUUGACAUUUAGUCAAAUUAAUAAAUAAUUCAAAAUUGUGUUUGAUUUUUGAAUUUGAAAAGAUAGUAAAUUAGAAGUGUUUUGAAAUAGUAUUUACGAGAAGAUUUUUAAUUUUAAAUAGCAUUAUAGUAGCUAUGGAUGGUUAUAUAAUAGUCUACACAAUCUUUGUCACAAAUGAUUAAUUCGAUUUUUUAAAUCAAGUCUAAUGUUUUUUUUUUUUUUUUUUGCCUAUUUCUUACCAUAAUUUACAUUUUUUGUAAGUAUAAUGGUUGAAUGCAAAAAGAGAGCUGACUAGUAAGUGCAAAAAGAGAUCUCACAAGCUUCUGCAAAAGCUAAUCAAGCAACCCAAAUCAUAAACGAGGAGAAAAGUUGAUUGGUUAAGCUUUGUUGUAGUAAAGAAGUCAAAGUGAACAUGGAACGUUCUUCACUCUCAAAGAACAUCGCCAACAUAUAGAUUAUAUACUUUUUCUGGUAUUGACCCAAAAAACACAAUCCAAGUGUAUUUUUGGUGAGAUGCAUAGUUUAACUAAACCGUGUUAUUACAAAAUUUUUAAUUACUAGGAACUCCUAAUGAAACGAAUACAUUAUUUUUAUAAUUACGAGGUAAAAUGGAAACAUACAAACUACUAAAAAAAGUUGCAAUUCGAUUAUUGGGAUUCAAUCUACUCUCCAUGAAUGUUCUUGAAAUGAGAGUUUUUAAGCAGCUACAACUUGCUUAUGUAUAAAAGCAAAACCCUUCUCAACGCCUACCUUCAGUUUUGGCUUUAGAGCUUCAAGUGAUUUUUGCCCCUACUCAGAUAAACCCUGAAGAUCAGAUGUUACAAAGGCUUCAAUUCCACAUGCAAAAAUCAUGUUCAUGAACCAAAAGCACCUUAAGCUUCUCUUCGAUAUCUUUGAGCUCACUGGAUAAAGAACUGAUUUCUAAAGCAAUCAUCUCUACCAUAUCCUCAUCGUUCCCACUGUCUUUUAAUAAGGUUGGCAUGAUAAUCACAACAAAGAAGAAGAAACUAAGAUCAAUUUAACAAAUUUUAUGUUGGGAAACUUUUUUAAGAACAACUACUUAUAAACCAACCUUAGCUUUGGCCUCACAUUCCUUGAAUUUUCUAAAAGUAGAUACCACCUGUCCGGGCAACCCACACCAACCAACCAAGAGUAAGUUAGUGUGAAAGACACUUAUUUAAUGAAGAAUAUGUAAAAGAGGUCAUUCCAACUGUUACACAUAAUAGUAUUGGAGGCAGAUAACCUUGCCAUACCUCAUCAAGUUCUGAUAUUGAUUGAGCUAGUUUUUGAUACUCUGUGGGGUUUGAGACAAUAUCUGGAUUGACCAGCUUAACCUAAAUAAUAAUAUCGAUAGUGAUUAUUGUGUAGGAAAAUAUUAAAGCUAUAACCAAAUCAAAAGCAUAAUUGGAAAUACAUCAAAGAUGUAAAUGCAAAUUUCAAAAGUGGAUCUACAGAAUGUAAGGGGAAGAAACUCAAAUAAAAUUACUUUAUUAGUUAUACGACUACUAUAGAGAUUCCAGAUACACCACAGUUCCACGUCCUCUUUCAGGAGGAAAGCAAUGGUUAAAAAUUAAUUGUGAAAACUAAAGAAGGUCCUGUUCAAAUCCUAACAGCAAUAGGAAAGCAAGGAGUUAUAAGGUGAUCACUAUAGCCAAAUCCAAAAUGCAUUCAAUAUUUGUCUUCCAAUUUCAUUAUCAAGUGCAUAGGCAAGGUCCCUAGUGAGGAAGUUAUUCGUUCUUUUCUUCAUUUUCUAUAGCUCUAGAAGUAGCUAAAUGGAAUCGUCAAGCACCUAAUCUAUUAAUUUUAAAACUCAAAAGUUCACCGCGGGAUUCUAGUCACUGCUGAAACAACAUAGAGUUCACUAGUUCCACAGUUAAAUUAAUUGCAAAUUGCAUUUCCUGGCAUUUUCAAGAAAAAAAAAAUGCACAAAUCAUAAUAUGAUGAAGUAGAAAAAUUUUGUGAGCUCGACUUUUCCAGGACAUAUCUUAGCUACUUCUCCUAUUCCAGCUCGAUAACCAUUGUACUUUAACAAUUGAAACAUUAAUCCAAUAGUUAACAAUGUUCUGCACUUUAUGCCCUUACAUUUCCAACAACUUGAUGCAUACAUCAGUAGUUAACACAGGCACGAGCUCUUAAAUUCAAUGCAAAAUAACAGUCCCAUUCCAAGCAUAGACACCAAAUACAAACAAUUGAUGGACUUGAAUCAGUGAAGAAAUAAGAAUGUCAUUUAACAGCAAAGCACAAAUUACCGAUAAUUUUUUCCACGUCUUCUCAGCAGAUUCCAAUUUCACGAUCAAAUAAGGUUCCUAAAAUAAAGCAAUCACCAUCAUCAUUUUCCACAAAUAUGAUUCGAACUAGUUUUACCACAAAUUAAUUUCUAGUAACUUGAAGAAAAACUCAGUGAACUCAAAGCAUAACGAAACUCAAGUUCUGUUAAAGCCAAUCCGAACAAUAAGAUAUAGACAUAUUGUGUUCUCGAAAGAAAAACAUUCAAUAAAUCUAACAGCCAUGCAAAUUAGAGUUGAAGCUCUAAAGGGAGGUGCAAAGCAUUUAAGUUCCAGAGAGCAUCUUCUGAAGGCGAUGAGCCCAUAAGAUGAAAAAAAGGCCUCAAGUGAGGAAGAAAGACGCCAUCCAAACAUGAAAAAAGGAAGAAAGGCAAGAUUUUGGUAGCUCCAGACCUGAGGGAAGCCAACAAGGUGGCGAGGGAGGCAAGGCCCCAAAGUUUAGCAUUGCCAGCAAAGUGAAGGUAGAGAAGGACCUUUCCUUUCGACGUGGCCCUCCGAGAGUUUAUGGACGCCCCAAUUGGGGCGUUUGGAUGGAGUAAGUUCUUCAAGGGACUUCCAAGAUUCGAUGGAGGUUGUCAAGAAAUUCUACGCAUCAGAUUACAACCACUACAAGGAAUUUCAGAUCAACCAACACAAUUUAACACUAUUGGGAGAAUCCACGAAUUCUUGGUCAAGUAGAAGAACCUCCAUGUGGAAGAAACAAAUUGUGAACGUGUCGAAGACCUUGAAGUGUGGAAAUGGAAGAUCAAAGAGUUCCAGCUUCGCCAGUCGACAGGGACGUCAACUGUUUAAGUAGGGGAGAAUGUCAAGAGCAUGCUUGUCCAAGGCAUUGUUUGCCCAUGGCCGCAUGGCCGAACAUCCUCAAACCGCCUUAUAUUUAUGUCUUAUACUUAGUUUAGCCAUUUUGUUUCCUUUUGUUGUCGCCGACCUAGGGUGUGACGUUUCAAAAUUUUCAUAUGCAAGUCUGUCAUAGCUAAAAAUGUUUAAAAUGUACUAUAGGGAAGACAUAGUAGUUGAAUCCCUGACCAAGCCUUGUUGCACUCUUUGCAUUCUAAUCUUUCUUUGCAAUUAACAGUCUUCAAUGCUUUCUUUAACGAUGUUUUCAAUUCUUUUCUUCUCUUCUUGUCUUAUAAAAAUAAAUUUCUCUCAAAACAUGAAAGAGGCUAUACCGUACUGCGUGCUUUUUGCGACUUCUGGAUUUCAUACAGCUUACUUGUUCACCGAGCUAGAACAAACGUCGCAUAAUCACCAUCCCCUAUUUGAAAAUUUACGAUUAUGACAGCAUGCGGUGAGGUGCACGCGGCAUGUGUGGGCCCAAGCCAAGCAUGCAACUGGCAUUCUGAUACUCUAUGCACGUGCAUGCUGCCUGCGCCCAUGCCGUGCAGCCAGCAUUGUCAUGACGUAGUUUUUGGGAUGUUUGGUGUUUUGGGAAAUUUUGAGCAAAUUCUGGAUGUUCGAGCAUGCGGAUGUUCUAUGCAAUGCAACCAGCAGCCCAUAUGUUCUAUGUUCUCUUUACGGUCGUAUGUGCACAUUUGGUUAACUCUACUACUAAUGGGAAAGUUGACGAGCCUAUGCUGAAUUCAUCAGGAAAGGUGUACUUUGUUGAGCCCAUUGAGGAGAAGGAUACCUUCUUUUUUCGAAGAGGUGUUUCAAUGCCUAGGCCGUCUUUUGACAAUGAGGUGUUAAUAUUACCUAGACUUCAUGCUAAGAACGGGUUGUGAAUUUAUAAUCAAGAAUGCAGUUCGAGUAUCAUGUCUUUCAAAUGAUUUCCAACAGCUUGAAUGUUUCUAUAAGACAAGAAUUUAUGCUUAACUGUUUUAGAAAGCAUGUUUUAUAAAAAUUGUCACUCACUAAGUCUUUCGACUUAUCCUUUCAAAUCAUUUCUCACUUUUCAGGUAUGGAUUAUGCAUUCCCUAAUGUUAAGCGUAUUGCUGCUGAGCCAACCAGUUACUAGAAAUUGUUAAGUCAUUUUGAAAGUUAGUUUUGACUUUGUAAGAAAAGUUCAGGAUGAGCAUGUCUAUGUUUAUUGUUAAAGUUCCAAUGUUAUAAGUUAGUUUAGUAAAAAGGUCACUGUCAUGUUUAAAGCUUCUGCUGAUGUAUCACAAUAGUUGUAACUAGUGGUUUAAGUUAUUAGUAAAAGCAUGUAGCUUGUAUCGCUGUUUGUUUUGAGCAUGCAUUCAUGUUGUAACUGGUAGUUAAGUUAGAAAGGUUAGUCGGUUGGUAAGUUUUGCCAAGGUAUGGCAAUCCUUGCCAACCCUCGCACCUUCUUUCAGAGCUAGAUGUUGUUCAGAAAAUAAGGAGCUUUGGGAGGGGGUGGUGACAACAACACCAUCCCACUAGAGUACGCAAUGAUGCAUUAUUGUUUAAUUAAGUCAUAUAUACUUCCACAAUUUGGAUAGGAAUUUAACUCAUUAGAAGGUGUCCUAUAGAAUUUCUCAGUGAAAAGUUCAGAGAAGCUACAAACAAAUGUCACUACCGAACAACAAUCAUAUACAUGGGUUAGGGCUUUGAGCAGUGUGAACACAACUUAAUAAUAAAUAUGAAGUCGUCCUCUUUUCAUCAUUAGUCAGAAGAAUUCUUAAACUUUCUAAAAAUAAUUGUCAAAUAAUUGAUUAUAUAGUAUGCCAUUUAUUUGGAAUACAAUUUUUUCAUUACCAGGAAAGGAGACUUCUCACUAAGUAAAUGUAAAGAGACUAAUGCUAUAAUUUGAAUUGGAAAAUAUAAUUUCAUAAUUAAGCAUCGAAUAGGGACUAGUUAAGAAGUACACACUUUAGUUUGCCAGAGUCCAUGUUCUACACAUGUUAGCCACUCUGUCAUUGGUUUAGCAGUAAAACAAAGGAUGUGUUUAGGAUGUGAGCCACACAAAAGGGAAAGAAAACAGAAGGCGCAGUGAGCCACACAAAAGGGAUCGAAACGAAUGUUCAGAAAUAUCGGAAGGAUCGAAGAAAUAUGGAAGGAAAGACGAGGAAAAAACAACAGACCGGAGCAAGUUCAAGAAGGUAGAGAUCCCGAUCUUCAAUGGAAUAGACCCCGAUUCAUGGUUAUUUCGCGCCGAUCGUUAUUUCAAGAUACACAAGUUGACUGACUCAGAGAAGUUAAUGGUAGCGGUAAUCAGUUAUUAGGACCAGCUUUGGAUUGGUAUAGAUCAAUUGAUGAAUUGGAACAAUUCAAGAGUUGGGAAGAUUUGAAGCAAAGGUUGUUGUCCGAUUUCAGACGAUUCGGGAUGGAACACUCGUAGGCAGAUUCUUAAGGAUUAAGCAGGAAACGACAGUAGGGGAAUAUAGAAACAGUUUCGAUAAAUAUUUAGCUCCGGUAGCCUUCCUCCAGACCAUAGUAUUAGAAGAAACCUUUAUGAAUGGGCUAAGCCCAUGGCAUAAAUCCGAAGUUGAAACGCUGGAGCCCAUAGGUUUGGCCAAGAUGAUGUAACUAGCCCUGAAAUUGAAAAUAGAGAGAUGGUUCGUCGAGAAUGUGGGCUUAGUAGUGUUUCGGGAAUGAAUCAACAAUUCAAGCAUAAUAACGUAAAGCAAACCUCGACAGUAACACCCAAUCAGAAACCCACGGAAGGGAGCUGGCCAAUGAGAACGAUUACGUUAAAAAGAGUGACGGCAGAUGAAAAGAGGAGGGAAGGUCCGACCAAGCGUCUUUCCAACGCUGAAUUUCAAGCACGGAGGGAAAACGGUCUGUGUUUUCAGUGUGAGGAGAAGUAUCACGCUGGACAUAGGCGUAAGGUGAAGGAACAGAAGGAAUUACGGAUGUUAGUAGUAAAGGAAAUGGGAGAAGAACUGGAAAUCAUUGAGGAUGAACACUUUGAUGUGGAAACGGAGGCCCAGACCAUUGAAAUUGAAAAAGUGGAGAAUAUGAAUAUAGAGCUGUCCAUUAACUCAAUUGUGGGGUUAUCCAACCCUGGAACCAUGAAACUGAAAGGGAAGAUAAAAGAGACCAAAGUGGUAAUAAUCAUCGACAGUGGAGCCACCCACAGUUUUAUUGCAAAAAAUUUUGUAACCACCCUUAGCCUACCAAUGACAGAAACGUCCAACUAUGGAGUGAUUUUGGGAUCAGGGGUUGCGGUCAAAGGAAAAGGAAUCCGCAGUAAUGUUGAAGUGACGGUAGGAGAGUGGAAAAUUACAAACAACUUUUUACCCUUGGAAUUAGGGGUGGUUGCACUCAUUGGGCAUGACUGAAUUUGAUAUGAAAAAUUUGGUGAUGACAUUCCGACAUGGAGGAAGGAAGAUAGAGAUAAAGGGGGACCCUAGUGUCACCAAAACCCAAGUGAGCCUAAAGUCUAUAAUUAAGACAUGGGGAGCUGAUAAUCACGGUUAUUUGGUAGAAUGUCGGGCCAUGGAGGGAAGGCUAGCUGAGGAAGGCUUAGAGGAUGAAGAAGUGCCAGCCACUGUUGACAACAUGAUCUCUCCUCUGUUGAGCAAAUUUAAUGAUGUUUUUGAUUGGUUGGAAGAGCUGCCUUCGAAGAGGAACAUUGAGCACCAUAUACCCCUUCAGAAGGGGGUGGAUCCAGUUAAUGUCAGACCUUAUCGUUACGCACAUCGGCAAAAGGAGGAAAUUGAAAGACUAGUUGAUGAAAUGUUGAAGACAGGCAUCAUAUGACCGGGUACCAGUCUGUAUUCCAGCCCAGUCCUUCUCGUGAAAAAGAAAGAUGAUAGCUGGCAAUUUUGUGUAGAUUAUCGGGAGUUGAACAAUGUCACUAUCCCAGAUAAGUUCCCAAUUCCGGUCAUAGAUGAGUUAUUCAAUGAGCUGAAUGGGGCCAACAUGUUUUCGAAGAUUUAUUUAAAGGCGGGUUAUCACCAAAUCAGGAUGCAUCUGAGAGGUGUAGAGAAGACGGCCUUUCGAACACAAUGAGGGACACUAUGAGAUUCUUGGUCAUGCCCGUUUGAGCUAACCAAUGCCCCCUCUACGUUCCAAGCAUUAAUGAACCACAUCUUUAAGCCUUAUAUGAGAAAGAUUCGUAUUAGUGUUUUUCGAUGACAUUUUGGUGUACAACAGGGGAGUAGAAGAACAUGGACAGCAUCUGGAAGUAGUCUUGGAGAUCCUUCGAGAGAAUGAAUUGUAUGUGAAUUUAGCCAAAUGUUGCUUUGCCAAAAGUAGAAUAGGUUAUUUGGGGCAUUUCAUAUCCGAAAAGGGAGCUAAAGUUGAUCCAGAAAAAAUAAGGGCAAUUAGGGGAAUGGUCGAUUCCCACUAGUGUGCGAGAAGUUCGAGGUUUCUUAGGACUCAAUUGAUACUAUAGGAAGUUUGGGCAGAAUUAUGGCAGUAUCGAAAGCCCUUUGACACAGCUUUUGAAGACAGGAACUCAUUGUUGGACUGAAGAAGCAAGUGCUGCCUUUGAGAAGUUGAAGAUGGCAAUGAUGAUUCUACCGACGUUAGCUAUGCUGGACUUUAAUCUACCACUCGAGAUAGAAACAUAUGUAUCUUGUUUUGGUGUGGGGCCGUUUUAGUACAAGCCAAGAGACAAAUAUCCUUCUUUAGUAAAACCUUAUGCAUGUGGGAUAGAGCGCGACUGGUUUAUGAAAGAGAAUUGAUAAUAGUAGUGUUUGCGGUGCAAAGGUGGAGACCAUAUUUGUUAGGGAAGAAAUUUACAGUGAAAACUGAUCAGAAGUCGCUCAAAUUUCGGCUAGAACAAAGGGUGAUUCAACCCUAAUACCAAAAAUGGAUAGCCAAUCUUUUGGGAUAUUCAUUUGAGGUAGUCUGCAAUCCUGGAUUGGAGAAUAAGGCAGCCGAUGCUCUAUCUAGAACACCCCGUAUAGUGCACUUAAAUCAAAUAUCAGCCCCAACACUACUCGAUUUAGUGGUGAGUCAAGAAGAGGAAAAGAGGGAUCAAUACCUACAGGAAAUCCAGAAGAAAAUAGAAAGAACAAAAAGUGAAAGUUCCAAACUUUUCAGUACAGCAAGGGGUAUUGAAAUACAAAGGAAGGUUGGUGCUGUCAAAAACAUCCGUUCUACUACCCACUAUCAUGCAUACCUAUCAUGAUUUUGUCUUUGGAGGACAUUCAGGGUUCCUAAGAACGUACAAGAGGAUGACCGGAGAGAUUUACUAGGAAGGAAUGAAGAAAAACAUAAAGAAAUACUAUGAAGAAUGUCUUGUAUGCCAAAGGAAUAAAACACUUGCAUUAUUACCUGCUGGAUUGCUGCUGCGCACUUGAGAUUCCUAACACAGUGUGGUCGGAUAUUUCCAUGGAUUUUAUAGAUGGACUUCCAAAAUCAGCUGGAAAAGAAGUGAUUUUUGUGGUUGUAGAUUGUCUGAGUAAGUAUGCACAUUUUACAGCUAUAAAUCAUUCUUACAUGGCCAGCUUCGUAGCAGAAGUUUUUGUUAAAGAAGUGGUGAGAUUGCACGGUAGCAUGUAUCCGCAGUAAGUUGUAUCGGAUCAAGACAAAAUCUUUAUUAGUCAUUUCUGGAAGGAAAUGUUCAAGUUAGUGGGAACUAAAAUAAAUAGAAGGAAAUGUUCAGGUUAGUGGGAACUAUGCCCAUAUACACCAAGUUCGAAUAUAGAACUUGCUUCUUACUGAAAAAAUAAUGAUUAUGGGACUUGCUAUAAGGGUAUCCAAUACUCGAAGUAAAUGAAUGAUUACAAAAUGAUUGUUUCCUCAGUUUGAAGAAGAACAACAAAAAAGAAAAGAAGGAUAAAAAUAAAAAAAAAAACAAACUUUCUUUUUGAAAUUCUAAAAGAAUCCAAAAAGACUUCAAAAGGUGCAACCAAGAAAGGAGGUCAAAGAAGGGCUCUGAUAGACCCCCCUAUCAUACGUCAAUAUAGUCAAAAAAAAAAAGAGAGAGAUCACAAGGGAACACACAUGCGAAGAAGAAAAGAUUUAAAGGAUUGUUAGAAGAAAAGAUUUAAAAAGCUUGUUGGGCGUCGGUUAGAUUUGAGGAGAUUUAGGAGGGUCGUUAGGUGUUGAUUAGAAUAAAUAAGGAUAGGGAGGAAAGAGGAGGGUAUGCUGAGUUUAGAAGAAAAUUGACUCAUGCUCUUCCUUGAGCGAUAGGAUAGCAGAGAGGGAAUUAGAUUGUUUUUCGAAUUGAGUCCUCCUCAAUUUGAGUGUUCUGAUAUUUUGAUUUUCCUUGUAACUCAUUCUUUGAUUGAAGCAAUAAAAGUUCUAAUUGGAUUUCCAAAAGAGUUCUAUCAAAUUGGUAUCAGAGACAGUUUUUUCUGACCAAGAGGAAAAUGAUGGUCCAAACACGAAUGAAGGAGAGAAUGGAGGCGCACGACCAGGAGAUGCAUUUGAUGAGAAGCGAGAUAAGCAAAAUUUCGACAAUGAAAGAAAUAUUAGCCACGAUCAGCGUACAGACAAAGAAGACUCACAAAAUGUUGAUAAUGUUCAUGGAAUCGAUUACCAGAGAGCAUAUCGUUAUGAGUGAGAAAAUGGCCGAGUCGAGUGUGCGAGAGACAGUAUCAACAAUAACGAAUAAGAAGGAAGGCUCGAUCGAAAAGGACCAUGAGCACGAAACAAAGGAUGGAAAGAUAGAAGGAGAAGACGGAGCGAACGAGCAUAAUAAGUUCAAGAAGGUUGAGAUGCCAGUUUUCAACACGGAAGAUCCCAAUUUUUGACCCUUUCGAGCAGAUAGAUAUUUUCAGAUACACAAAUUGACUGAUGCUGAGAAGGUCCUGGUUGCGACCAUUAGUUUUGAAGGCCCGACGCUGAACUAGUAUAGGGCGCAAGAAGAACACGACAAGUUUACCAGUUGGUCGAACCUCAAGGAGAGAAUACUCAUCCGUUUUCAAUCAGCAAAAGAGGGGUCCAUAUGCGGACAAUUUUUUAGGAUCGGAUAACAGACGACAGUAGAAGAAUAUCGAAACCAGUUAUAUAAGCUGAUGGAACCGUUAUCCGAUCUACAAGACAGAGUGGUGGAGGAAACAUUCAUGAACGGUUUACUGCCGUGGAUUAAAGCAGAAGUGGAUUUUUGUCGUCCGGUCGACGUGGCUCAAAUGGUGCACGCGGCUCAACUCGUAGAAAAUCGAGAGAUAAUUCACAAUGAGGCCAACCUUAAGGGGUACGCCCAAGGAAAAUAUCCGCCUCAAGGUUCUAGGCAAAAUACGAGUGCUGCGACGGUGAACGAUAGCGACAAUAAGAGAAAUACAUUAUUUUCGAUGAGAACGAUUACUCUGAGAACGACAUCCAGAGAAGUUAAGAGAGGGGCAGGCAAAGCGAUUGUUAGACGCGGAGUUUCAAGUCAGGAAGGAAAAAGGACAUUGUUUCCGUUGUAAUGAGAUAUAUUAUCAUGAUCAUCGAUGCAAAAACAGAGGGCAAAGAGAGUUGAGAAUGUACGUGGUCAGGGCGAAUGAUGAAGAAUUUGAAAUCAUAGAAGAAGUGGGAGAAAAUGAAUUGUUUGGAAAUCACAUAAGAAGAUCAUGUUGUCAUCGAACUGUCAAUUAAUUCGGUGGUGGGGCUGAACAAUCCGAGGACAAUGAAGGUGAGGGGGAAUAUCAGUGAGCGAGAAGUUUUCAUUUUCAUUGAUUGUGGAGCAACGCACAACUUCAUCUCCGAAAAGAUAGUAAAGGAGUUACAACUGGCCACGAAGGCAACGUCGCACUAUGGUGUAAUCUUGGGCUCGGGGGAGGCGAUAAAAGGUAAAGGAGUAUGUGAGGACGUGGAAAUCAAGUUGAACGGGUGGAAGGUGGUGGAAAAUUUGUUACCCUUAGAAUUGAGAGGGGUAGAUGUUGUGUUAGGAAUGCAGUAGUUGUAUUCAUUGGGCAUGACGGAAGUAGAUUGGAGGAACCUCACAAUGACUUUUGUGCAACAAGGAGAAAAGGUAGUGAUAAGAGGAGACCCAAGUUUGACCAAAUCCAGAGUGAGUCUCAAGAACAUGAUCAAAAGGUGGAAGGAUUCGUGAUCGAGUGCCGAGCAAUGGAGAGAGUCUUUGAGCCACAGGAAGAUAACGGGAUUGAAGAAGUAUUAACUACUGAUGAAGCAGUAUCGGUCGUGUUGAAGAAUUUUGAAGAUGUUUCUAAUUGGCCGAAGACACUACCCCCGCAAAGAAAUAUUGAACAUCACAUUCAUUUGAAACAGGGCACUGAUCUGGUAAAUGUUCGACCCUAUAGAUACGCUUAUCAACAGAAAGCUGAGAUGGACAAACUUGUGGAUGAGAUGUUGACAGCUGGAAUUAUCCGUCCCAGCAACAGUCCAUAUCUAGUCCAGUUCUAUUGGUAAUGAAAAAAGAUGGCAGCUGGCGUUUUUGCGUAGACUACCAAGCGCUGAACAAUGUAACCAUUCCAGACAAAUUCCCUAUUCCGGUGGUUAAGGAGCUUUUCGAUGAAUUAAAUGAAGCAAACUGGUUUUCAAAGAUUGAUUUGAAGGUGGGGUACCAUCAGAUCAAAAUGUGUGGAGAAGACAUCGAAAAAGCAGCAUUCCGAACACAUGAUGGACACUAUGAAUUUAUGGUUAUGCCAUUCGGCUUAACUAAUGCCACAUCCACUUUCCAAGCUCUGAUGAACUCAACAUUCAAACCAUUUUUGCAGAAGUUCAUAUUAGUGUUUUUCGACGACAUACUAAUCUACAGUGAGAACUUGGAACACCAUUUGAAGCACAUUGGGUUAGCAUUGGAAAUCCUGAGAAAGAAUGAGUUAUAUGCAAACAAGAAGAAGUGCAGCUUCGCACAAGAACGUAUUGAUUAUUUGGGUCAUAUCAUUUCAAGACAAGGAGUUGAAGUGGACCUUGAGAAAAUCAGAGCAAUCACGGAAUGGCCUAUACCCAGUAAUAUAAGAGAGGUACGGGGAUUCCUAGGCCUCACCUGUAACUAAAGAAAGUUCGUUCAGCACUAUGGCUCCAUUGCCGCACCAUUGAUUCAACUACUUAGGAAAGGGGGAUUCCAGUGGACUGAGGAGUCUAAGGAGGCAUUCCAACAACUACAAAAUGCGAUGAUGACCCUGCCCGUUUUGGCGUUGAAAAAAUUUCAAUGCCACAUUUGAAAUGGAAACCGAUGCAUCGGGAUAUGGGGUAGGAGUCGUACUCGUCCAAGCCAAGCGUCCCAUAGCAUACUUUAGUCAUACGUUAGCCUCAAGAGAUAGAGCCAAGCCUGUACAUAAAAGGGAAUUAAUGGCAGUGGUCUUGCAUGUGCAACGAUGGCGACCAUAUCUGUUGGGGAGAAAAUUUAUUGUGAAGACCGAUCAGAAAUCCUUGAAGUUCUUGUUAGAACAAAGAGUGAUACAGCUUCAGUAUCAGAAAUGGGUAGCGAAGCUAACGGGAUACUCAUUUGAGGUGGUCUACAAACUCAGCUUGGAGAAUAAAGCAGUAGACGCCUUGUCUUGGAUGCCUCCUACAAUUAACCUCGGUAGCAUAACAGCUCCUACAUUGGUUGACAUUCUGGUGACUAAAAAGGAAGUCAAAGCGUAUGAAAAAUUAAGCAAAAUAAUGGAAGAACUACAAGCAAUGGAAGAAGUAACAGAGGGUAAAUUCUCCAUCCGACAAGGUAUGUUAAGAUAUAAGGAUAAGUUUGUGUUGUCCAAAACAUCUACAUUGAUACCCACAAUCCUACAUACUUACCAUGAUUUGGUACUUGUGAGGAAUGUGUAAUAUGUCAGAAGAACAAGUCCCUAGUGUAACGAGCAUACUUGUCCAAGGUGUGUUUACCUAUGGCCGUAUGCUCCGAUUAGCCCCAAUUUACCUUGUCUUUAUGUCUUGCACGUAGCUUAGGUAGUUGCUUUCAAUUUCAAGUCGAUAUGCUUGGGUGUGACGUUUCGGCAUUUUCAUAUGUUAAAAAUGUACUAUAGGGGAGGCAUACCUGUUGAAUCCCUGCCCAAGCCUUGUCGUACUCUUUGCAGUCUAUGCUUUCUUAUUGCAAUUGACAGUCUUCAAUGCUUGUUUUAACAACGUUUUCAAUCAAUUUAAUCAUCUUUCAUGUUUUCUAAAACUAUUUUUCCAAGAACGUGAGGGGAGGUUGAAGUAUGUGUUAAAGUUGUCUGCGAUUUGCAGAUUUUGAUCGGCUGACUUGUUCGCCGAGCUAGAACAAGUGCCGCACAAUCGUUCACAUCGUGUUUGAAGGGUUACACAGUAAAGGAAGAGUAAGAAUUUGAGUGGAGAAACUCCAAUUGGGAUCAACACGUGGGCAACAACAUGGCUUCUCACCAACAUGAGAACUCAAAAGAGACAGCAGAUAUUCUAGAGAAGCCAAUGAACUCUUGGGAUGUGAAUCUGCACUUUCCUGCAAUAGUUUGAGUGUGAAUUAGUUCUCUGAAAACACCUGCAGAGGAUAAUCCACGGCAAAACAGAAUAACUAUAAAAAAACCACUUGCAAGUAGAAGAAAAAGGAAGUACAUUUAUACCUUCCCUGUCAAAGUGAUAUCCCUCAUCAACGGAUAUGCAUUUCUUUCCAGGAAGUAGCCAACAAUUUUACAAACCCAUGGGAGUUUAGGUUGUAAUAAGAAAACAAUUGUGUCCAACAAUAGAGUUGCAGGUGUGUUAGAGUUCACAGGUGCAGCCAAAAGUUGAUUCCUCAAUUGGUUUCUAUCAAGAACAACAUCAAGUAAGAAUAAUUCGGAGGAAAAAUAAAGGCAACUUAUCAUAUAUAUAAAUAUGAUUAGUCUGAAUUCGUUUGCGGAAGGUAAAAAAACCUUUAUGUCAAUUAUAUAUAUCUGAACAAAAUCUAAGAAAUAUAUCACUUUUCAACAAAAGAAAUAUAUCAUAUACAAUUAAAGGAUCAUAGCAUAGAAAGCCAACAAAAUCAACAAUGAUAGAUCAAACAUCUGUUUUUCCAUUCAAAACGUUAAAAAGGAUAAGUUUUUAAUAAGGAAUGUUGAAAUGGAAAAAACUAAUUACCUAUUAUGGUGUACAAUCUGGAUGCAAGCAUAUGCAAAUUUCUUAACUCUGUAAUCCACUAAGGCCUUGUUAAGUACAUAAUCCUUGCUAGCGAAAAUGCUCAACAUAUCCCCUAUAUAUGUAAGAGAGAGAAAGGUUAGAAAGUACUAACACUAAGAGAUAUGUGCUAUCAAUUAGAAACACUUUAAGAUGACAUUAUCAAUUAGAAAACCAAGUAUUAAGCAACAUAAGGGAAAAUAACAAACAAGGGCACCACAGUGGUUCAGAAACCAAUCAAUAUUUCCAUUUGUCACUUUUAUAAUAAUUUCCCAAGGGAAAAUCCUCAUAAUAAGCUUGAGUACCACCUAAUAACGUGUUCAAAUGUUACCAUAAGCAAAAAUGAGUGAUCCUAAAAUUCAUAUGACAAGGAAAGUCGUCAACUAGCAACCGCCAAAUAACAGUUAUAUGGCUAGAAUUAGUUUUCUCCAACUUCAAGAAAAUAAAACAUAUUAAAACAAAAGGAAUUAUGGUGCAAAAUAAUGAAUAUGCCUGCAAAGGUAAGAAGUUUCUGAAGGUAAAAAUGGUCAAUAAAAAACAACAUAUAAUUUGACGUAAAUCAAAGUAGAAUUAUUUCUCGCAAUGAAUUCUCUGCCAAUAAUGGCUAAGAGAAGGGGUAUUUAUUGAGAAUUAGUUGGCCAGGCAGAAAUCAUCUAGGGCAUAGUAUUGUUUUAGGUCUGCGACAUUAAAAACAUAAUGAAUGUGUAAGUCUGGUGGUAGUUCUAUUUUGUAAGCAUUAUCUCCGAUCCUCUUUAGGACACGGAAUGGUCCUAAUUGUCUGUCUUUUAGUUUGUUGUAUGUUUCGGUUGGAAAUCGAUUUUUUCUUAGGUGAAUCAUUACUAAAUCUCCCUUGGUAAAGGUAGUUUGUCUUCUUUUUCUGUCUGUUGCGUCUUUGUAGGACUGAGUUGUUUCUUUUAGGUGAUUGUGGACUUCUUCGUGUAAAUUCUGGAUUUUUUCUAUCAUCUUUUCUGCCUCUGAUAGUUAGGGAACUCAACACAUU
rnacentral:lncRNA from 1 species